UACGUAGGGGGCAAGCGUUGUCCGGAUUUAUUGGGCGUAAAGAGCGUGUAGGCGGCCAGACAGGUCCGUUGUGAAAACUCGAGGCUCAACCUCGAGACGCCGAUGGAAACCGUCUGGCUAGAGUCCGGAAGAGGAGAGUGGAAUUCCUGGUGUAGCGGUGAAAUGCGCAGAUAUCUGGAGGAACACCGGUGGCGAAGGCGGCAUCCUGGACCGGCACUGACGCUGAGGUGCGAAAGCGUGGGGAGCAACAGG
rnacentral:rRNA from 1 species